rnacentral:rRNA from 1 species
ACCGAUAGUGAACCAGUACCGUGAGGGAAAGGCGAAAAGAACCCCGGCGAGGGGAGUGAAAAAGAACCUGAAACCGUGUACGUACAAGCAGUGGGAGCACCUUCGGGUGUGACUGCGUACCUUUUGUAUAAUGGGUCAGCGACUUAUAUUCUGUAGCAAGGUUAACCGUAUAGGGGAGCCGCAGGGAAACCGAGUCUUAACUGGGCGUUAAGUUGCAGGGUAUAGACCCGAAACCCGGUGAUCUAGCCAUGGGCAGGUUGAAGGUUGGGUAACACUAACUGGAGGACCGAACCGACUAAUGUUGAAAAAUUAGCGGAUGACUUGUGGCUGGGGGUGAAAGGCCAAUCAAACCGGGAGAUAGCUGGUUCUCCCCGAAAGCUAUUUAGGUAGCGCCUCGUGAAUUCAUCUUCGGGGGUAGAGCACUGUUUCGGCUAGGGGGUCAUCCCGACUUACCAACCCGAUGCAAACUACGAAUACCGAAGAAUGUUAUCACGGGAGACACACGGCGGGUGCUAACGUCCGUCGUGAAGAGGGAAACAACCCAGACCGCCAGCUAAGGUCCCAAAGUCAUGGUUAAGUGGGAAACGAUGUGGGAAGGCACAGACAGCCAGGAUGUUGGCUUAGAAGCAGCCAUCAUUUAAAGAAAGCGUAAUAGCUCACUGGUCGAGUCGGCCUGCGCGGAAGAUGUAACGGGGCUAAACCAUGCACCGAAGCUGCGGCAGCGACACUAUGUGUUGUUGGGUAG